rnacentral:rRNA from 1 species
GACGAACGCUGGCGGCGUGCUUAACACAUGCAAGUCGAACGGAAAGGCCCUGCUUUUGUGCGGUGCUCGAGUGGCGAACGGGUGAGUAACACGUGAGUAACCUGCCCUUGACUUUGGGAUAACUUCAGGUAACUGGGGCUAAUACCGGAUAGGAGCUCCUGCUGCAUUGUGGGCGUUGGAAAGUUUCGGCUGUUGGGGAUGGACUGGCGGCUUAUCAGCUUGUUGGUUGGGUAGUGGCUUACCAAGUCUUUGACGGGUAGCCGGCCUGGGAGGGGGAACGGCCACAUGGGGACUGAGAGACGGCGCAGUCGCGAACGGGAGGCAGCAGUGGGGAAUAUUGCACAAUGAGCGGACGCCUGAUACAGCAACGCCGCGUGCGGGAAGACGGCCUUCGGGGUAAAAACCGCUUUCGCCUGAGACGAAGCGUGAGUGACGGUAAUGGAUAAAGAAGCACCGGCUAACUACGUG